UACGAAGGGGGCUAGCGUUGCUCGGAAUUACUGGGCGUAAAGGGCGCGUAGGCGGCGCAGUUAGUCAGGCGUGAAAUUCCUGGGCUCAACCUGGGGACUGCGCUUGAUACGGCUGUGCUAGAGGAUGGAAGAGGCUCGCGGAAUUCCCAGUGUAGAGGUGAAAUUCGUAGAUAUUGGGAAGAACACCGGUGGCGAAGGCGGCGAGCUGGUCCAUUACUGACGCUGAGGCGCGACAGCGUGGGGGAGCAAACAGG
rnacentral:rRNA from 1 species